UUGGUUGUGGUGUAGCUUUGCUGCUAUCUCUUACCCAUGUCUUUUGAGUACCUUACGUUUCCUCGGCGGGUCCGCCCGCCGAUUGGACACUUUAAACCAUUUGCAGUUGCAAUCAGCGUCUGAAAAAACUUAAUAGUUACAACUUUCAACAACGGAUCUCUUGGUUCUGGCAUCGAUGAAGAACGCAGCGAAAUGCGAUAAGUAGUGUGAAUUGCAGAAUUCAGUGAAUCAUCGAAUCUUUGAACGCACAUUGCGCCCCUUGGUAUUCCAUGGGGCAUGCCUGUUCGAGCGUCAUUUGUACCUUCAAGCUUUGCUUGGUGUUGGGUGUUUGUCUCGCCUCUGCGUGUAGACUCGCCUCAAAACAAUUGGCAGCCGGCGUAUUGAUUUCGGAGCGCAGUACAUCUCGCGCUUUGCACUCAUAACGACGACGUCCAAAAGUACAUUUUUACACUCUUGACCUCGGAUCAGGUAGGGAUACCCGCUGAACUUAAGCAUAUCAAUAAGCGGAGGAA
rnacentral:rRNA from 1 species